rnacentral:tRNA from 1 species
GGCGUGUUACGCUAGUGGUUAGGCGACUUGGUUUUCAACCAGGCGACACGGGUUCGAUCCCCGUACACGCUUCCA